rnacentral:rRNA from 1 species
GACGAACGCUGGCGGCGUGCUUAACACAUGCAAGUCGAACGGAAAGGCCCUGCUUUUGUGGGGUGCUUGAGUGGCGAACGGGUGAGUAACACGUGAGUAACCUGCCCUUGACUUUGGGAUAACUUCAGGAAACUGGGGCUAAUACCGGAUAGGAGCUCCUGCUGCAUGGUGGGGGUUGGAAAGUUUCGGCGGUUGGGGAUGGACUCGCGGCUUAUCAGCUUGUUGGUGGGGUAGUGGCUUACCAAGGCUUUGACGGGUAGCCGGCCUGAGAGGGUGACCGGCCACAUUGGGACUGAGAUCCGGCCCAGACUCCUACGGGAGGCAGCAGUGGGGAAUAUUGCACAAUGGGCGGAAGCCUGAUGCAGCAACGCCGCGUGCGGGAUGACGGCCUUCGGGUUGUAAACCGCUUUCGCCUGUGACGAAGCGUGAGUGACGGUAAUGGGUAAAGAAGCACCGGCUAACUACGUG